AUAUUCAACCCUUAAACUAAAAUCUUAAAAAAAUCAAUACUUCUCUCGAAGAAAUCGGAAAUCUUAUUCUCAGAAGAAAUCGGAAGAGAAGAGUUGAGUAGAGCUGAAAGUGAGAAUCAGAGGCGAUGUUCAAAGACCAUACACUCAGAUGGUUGAAGAAGCGGAAAGCUGGUCUCUUCUCCUCUCCUCGUGAAAAAUUACGCACUUACAGAAGAUACAACUGUUUGAGCUACCAUUAUUGCUGGAAUAAGUGCUUCUCUCUAGUAAGCGCAUCGCUCGUGUUGCUCUUUAUAUAGGCUCCGAUGUCUAGAGGGAACUGUACGUUAGAAUAGAAGAAACAAAACCGACAGUGCUACGCGCCACAAUUUUUUUUAUAAUAGAUAGCUUGUUUUCUAUUUAGAGAUAAAACAGAUGUCGAACAGAUUUAUUUUCAAAUUAGCGAUUCCGCCGUAUAAGGGCCUCGCCUGGGACAUGAAAAAUUAAAUAAGCAGUCGCUUGACAACUAGUAUAAGGCGCCCCAAUCAUGAUCUAAGGGCUGAAGCUAAGGUAAGGCGAGCGAGGCACUUCCCUUAGUCAUGGUCUCAGGGCCGGAAUAACGAAAUAUCGGAAUAAAAAAAGAAAAAAAAUUCCACUAAAAUUAAACGUCCUAAGUAUUUUAAUUGAAAUCCUGAUACAAAAA